rnacentral:rRNA from 1 species
UACGUAGGUGGCAAGCGUUGUCCGGAUUUACUGGGCGUAAAGCGCGCGCAGGCGGGCUGGUCAGUCCGGGGUGAAAUCUCACGGCUCAACCGUGAGCGGUCCCCGGAUACUGCCAGUCUUGAGGUGUCUAGAGGGAGAGCGGAAUUCCCGGUGUAGUGGUGGAAUGCGUAGAUAUCGGGAAGAACACCAGUGGCGAAAGCGGCUCUCUGGGGACCACCUGACGCUGAGGCGCG